UGUGUGUAGAGAGAGUAAGUGGCGUGCGCGCGUGUGAACGAACAAAGAAAUCGGAAUAUAAUUUACGUGUUGCGUUAUGUGCGUGAUUUAAUGCAUAUGGAAAUUGACGAAUAAUUUUGGCGCAUUGUGGAAGGUGUUGAAAACAACUGCUACCAACGAUGCUGAACUUCACAACACAAGAAAAACAGUUGUUUUGAUGGUGAACAAAAAACGAAACUAUUUCAACUGUCGACUCGUCAAAGAUCAAAAUGUAUGGACACGGUCUCAAUCCAAAUGAAAAAAAUGUAAUUAAAAAAAAAUGCACAAAACACAAAGACCCUCGACAAAUUGUCACUUAUGAACUGAUGCAAAAUCAAAUCAUAGAAACUAAUAAAAUAGAAACUUACGCAAAAA